rnacentral:tRNA from 1 species
UCCCUGGUGGCUCAGAUGGUAAAGAAUCUGCCUGAAAUGCAGAAGACCCAGGUUUGAAUCUUGGUUGGGAAG